GAUGAAGAACGCAGCGAAAUGCGAUAAGUAAUGCGAAUUGCAGAAUUCCAGUGAGUCAUCGAAUCUUUGAACGCACAUUGCGCCCCCUGGUAUUCCGGGGGGCAUGCCUGUCCGAGCGUCAUUGCUGCCCUCAAGCACGGCUUGUGUGUUGGGCCCCGUCCUCCGAUCCCGGGGGACGGGCCCGAAAGGCAGCGGCGGCACCGCGUCCGGUCCUCGAGCGUAUGGGGCUUUGUCACCCGCUCUGUAGGCCCGGCCGGCGCUUGCCGAUCAACCCAAAUUUUUAUCCAGGUUGACCUCGGAUCAGGUAGGGAUACCCGCUGAACUUAAGCAUAUCAAUAAGCGGAGGA
rnacentral:misc_RNA from 1 species